rnacentral:rRNA from 1 species
AACGAACGCUGGCGGCAGGCCUAACACAUGCAAGUCGAACGCGCCCUUCGGGGCGAGUGGCAGACGGGUGAGUAACGCGUGGGAACCUACCUCAUGGUGCGGAAUAACCCAGGGAAACUUGGGCUAAUACCGCAUGUGCCCCGGUCCUUGAGUGGAUCGGGGGAAAGAUUUAUCGCCAUGGGAUGGGCCCGCGUCGGAUUAGCUUGUUGGUGGGGUAACGGCCUACCAAGGCGACGAUCCGUAGCUGGUCUGAGAGGAUGAUCAGCCACACUGGGACUGAGACACGGCCCAGACUCCUACGGGAGGCAGCAGUGGGGAAUAUUGGACAAUGGGCGCAAGCCUGAUCCAGCCAUGCCGCGUGAGUGAUGAAGGCCCUAGGGUUGUAAAGCUCUUUCGCCGGUGAAGAUAAUGACGGUAACCGGAGAAGAAGCCCCGGCUAACUUCGUGCCAGCCGCCGCCGUAAUAC